CCCUGGAUGGUACGGUCUUGGUUAAUGCGCUGGACUCAUGAUCCAGGUCGGAUAGAGAGCGUGGGUUCAAAUCCCGCCCCCGGAG
rnacentral:tRNA from 1 species